GGGUGGCUUGCAAAUUUCCUCUGAAGUUUGCACACCUAAGUUUAAGCACCGAAUUCAUACUCAACUGCUUGACACGAUAAGCUAUGGGGCCAAGUGAUAAUAAAUUCAAUGCGGACUCAUGUUUUUGUUAUCUUGUUGAGAUGUACGGAAUUGACAAGUGAAAAUUACGUAUAACAUCCUCUCAACAGCUUGUCUUCGUCAAAUGAUAGGCUAAUACGUGGCAUCUCUUCUUCACUAGAGGCAACUUGCUUUAGUGGUAAGUUCUUUUAAUCUUCAUCAGAUGGUAACUUGACAUCAAAGGCAAGUUCCAUUAAUUCUUUAUUGGUUAUAAGUUCCAAUCAGAGGUGCGUAACUUAGCCCACGAAUGCCAAGUGCCAUCAGACGCAAUGUGUAACCGCUCCAAGGGUUCCUUGAAAUUAACAGCCUAAAAAACAACAAAUAAAUAUUUAGUUAAAAAAUCCAGCCGUUUUUUACAAGCAGGCGGAAUUAACUGAAACUGCUAAAAUUGGGGAAAACCUUGGCUUCAAAUUUGGAGCUCUAGAUGACGAAAUUGGGUGCCGAGAUUUGGGAAAACCCGCCUAUAGCAUUUGUCCAUGUGUGUGGCUCGUCGAGACGCGUAUGUCCAAUACUUAUCCCCCAUAUAACUUCAUACGUACUGAAAGUUAAUCCUUUUUUAGCAUGAACCAUUUUCCAAUCCACUUCCGUGUGUCUAAUUGCACCAAAUACGAGUAUGCUAGAUCAUGGAUCAACUCUGUAUCACCAUCAAUGUGAAGAUAACGCAUUUGCACUUUUGUUUUCAUUCACCUUGAAAAUGAAAUAACUUAACUAAAUAGAAGUAAAGAUCUUCCUUCAUCUGCAGCACAUACACAAAUUCUUGAGCCAAACAAAUUCUUUGUCCCUCUUGUGUUUCUUCAUCAAAAUAGUAAAUAAUGUCAAAACUUUUGCUUUGGUCAUAUGACAUAACUUGAAGGUUGACUGACAUAAAAUUUUACAAAUCAAUGGUUCAGUUACAUGAUCUGAACGAAAAAGGAAUGAUCAAUAUGGGUUGUAUUUUUACUAACCUGCAAAGCUGUAAACUUAAAGAUGCUUUGUGGAUGAAAGCAACAAUGUGAUGAAACCAUCUUUCUGGUUCGAAUGCAUCAAACUUGACCCUCCCUAUUGCAUAGGGGCUCAUAAGGUAUGGUAAUCUCCUUUCUUCACGAAUAUAUCUAUAUGCCAUAUACAAGGUUUUAAUGUAAAAGAGUGUACAUUACAAUUAUUCAGAUAAAAUCCCAAGCUGCCUAUCUAUAUAAGGGAUUUUUUUAUUUAUUUAUGAUGAACAAAAUAAUAUUCGAAAAAUAAGAAUUAUAUACAUCUCAUCCAGGCUUAUCAAAACUCUUUUAGGUAAAAUCUUAGAAAUUGAUAACUGUAAUUUACUUAAUUAAAAUCAAUUAUGGUAUGUUUACUACAGAUUAGAGACGUACAUAAAAACGGGUUUAACCAAACCUGGCCAAACCGAGCAGGUUUUGCUUAAAAAAAAAAGAAAGAAACAGAUGAACACUAUGAAAUAGUUUAAGUUGGACUCAAUAACCUUCCUUAAAUGUAAACCAGUUGGGCUUCCAACAUUAAAACAGUACUGGGCCAGGCCCAAACUAGAAAGAAACCAGGAGCCCAAAACUUUUGAAAAUUAAUAAUUAGAGGUUUGACGAUGUUAAUUGUUAACCUGAGGGGUGUGAGCAGUGGUGGUUAUAUCAUGAAUACCAAUAAUCAAAACCAGCUUGUUAUAUGAUAAUGGGAUGGUCAAAUGUUGUAGACUAAAAGGAACUUACACUUAUGUCAUUGAUGCUUUGAUUGUUAUUUGCUGAUUUAGUCGUCAUAUGCCCGAGAUUUACACCAUUUUCCUGAAGAUUACACGGCCAAAGUCUCUCAUUCAACUGUGAAUGUUCCAACAUCACCCAGAAUAUCCUUUACAAUGUCAUGGUUAGAGGAACCUGCAAAACAUAGUUGUAUCAUACAUGAUAUUUGAUUCGAUUGUCCAACUAAAUUGACACUUCUGAUCUAAGAUAAUGAGAAAAAUGCUUCAUUUACGUGUUUUACAAAAUGCCAUAUUUUGAAUGGAAUUCCUAAAAAUGCGUCAUUGAAGUAACUCAAUUCAUGAAUUAUUGAACACACUCAAUUCAAGAAAAAAAAGCACAUAUCCAUUCAGCCCCCUCUGAUUUGAACAGAUUAUUGAAUUAAUCAAACCAAAAGUCAAGGUGAUAUAAAUAAGGGAUGUUGGCCUCUAAUAAUCUCUACUAGACGUCAUUGGCCAUUAACAUUUAAGAAUUAUAUGCAUCCUAUCUAGGUUUAUGAAAAUCCUUAUAAGUAAAAUUUUAGAAUUUGGCAAUUGUUAUUUACUUAAUUUAAAUCAAAUAUAGUAGAU
rnacentral:lncRNA from 1 species